rnacentral:lncRNA from 1 species
GUGGCUUCCUCCGGUUCUUCAAGGAAUAAAUUAACGAAUUUGCAUAAGGAAUUGUCUCCUGAGCCGCUUUAUACCUUUGAUGUCGAUCAAAGAAAUCGCCACAAUGUAAAAUUCAAGUUUUUUUCUGAUUCUUUUGUUUUUGAAGUGUAAAUUGUGAAAUAAUUUGAAUACUUAACAUGAUAUUGGAGUAAUUUUCUUAAAAUUUAGGGGUUUUUUGCUUGCUUGUUUUUGAAUUUGAUAUUUCUAUUGUUUGAAUCUGCCUAAGCUUUG